AUGUCUCAAACUAAUAUGUAUAGGCCAGGAAUUGAUGUCACUCAGGCAGAGCUUGUUCCUUAUUUGAACUGGCGGCGGCAAGAGAGGACAGAGAUGGUUGGAAAUUGGAAGGCCAAAGUUUAUGAUAUGUUUCAUGUGAUGGUGAGUGUGAAGUCAAGGCGCGUUCCAGGUGCAAUGACUGAUGAGGAGCUUUUUGCUGCGGAUGAUGAAGACAGGCCGGUAAAUGGUGCUGACAAUGAUGAGUUUGAUGAUGUAUUGACAGCUGAGGAGAGGAAACAGUUGGAUACUGCACUUCGUAUGGGGAAUUCAGAUGGUCUUUGUGAGGAUGAGGAACUUGGGGUCAUCGAGUAUCAAGAAAAUGGAUCUGGAGGUUCUUAUGA
rnacentral:misc_RNA from 1 species